UCUAUUACUUAUAUAAAGUGGUACCUGCCCAGUGGGUUAUUUCUUUUUAGGUGUGAAUAUCUAAAUUUAUCUUAAACGGACGCGGUAACUCUGACUGUGAUAAUGUAGCAUAAUCAGUUAUCACUUAAUUAGUGGGGAGUAUGAAUGGUUUAACGAAUUUUUCAUUGUCUUAAAUAGAAUUUUUUUUAAAUUAAAAUUAUAGUUAAGAUGCUAUAUAAAAUUGUAAGACGAAAAGACCCUGUAGAGCUUUACUAUUUUUAUUAAUCAUGAUUUGAUUAAUGUAGUCAUCAUUUUUAGUACUAGGUAGUUUAAUUGGGGUGAUUGGUUUUUAUUAUUAAUAAAACUAUGCAAUAAUAUUAUUAUUUAUUGUAUAAUUAAUUUAUUUAACAAUUACUAUAGUAGGCUAUAAUGACCCGUUUUAAUUUAAUAAAUAUUUUAACGAUAAAUAAAUAAAAGCUACCUCAGGGAUAACAGGAUAAUUUUGUUUUAGAGUUCUAAUCGAUUUCAAAGUUUAUCACCUCUAUGUUGAAUUAAGAUACCCAGGUGGAGUAUAAACUACCAAAGGUGGGUCUGUUCGACCCUUAAAAU
rnacentral:rRNA from 1 species